AAACCAACAGGGAUUGCCUUAGUAGCGGCGAGUGAAGCGGCAAUAGCUCAAAUUUGAAAUCUGGCACCUUCGGUGUCCGAGUUGUAAUUUGAAGAAGGUAUCUUUGGUUUUGGCUCUUGUCUAUGUUCCUUGGAACAGGACGUCACAGAGGGUGAGAAUCCCGUGCGAUGAGAUGCCCAAUUCCAUGUAAAGUUCCUUCGACGAGUCGAGUUGUUUGGGAAUGCAGCUCUAAGUGGGUGGUAAAUUCCAUCUAAAGCUAAAUAUUGGCGAGAGACCGAUAGCGAACAAGUACUGUGAAGGAAAGAUGAAAAGAACUUUGAAAAGAGAGUGAAAAAGUACGUGAAAUUGUUGAAAGGGAAGGGCUUGAGAUUAGACUUGGAAUUUUCCAUUUAUGGAGCUUUCCGGGCCAGCAUCAGUUUGGAUGGCAGGAUAAUUGCGUUGGAAAGUAGCACCACUUCGGUGGUGUGUUAUAGACUUCGUCGAUACUGCCUAUCUAGACUGAGGACCGCGUCUUUGACUAGGAUGCUGGCGUAAU
rnacentral:rRNA from 1 species